GAUGAAGAACGUAGCGAAAUGCGAUACUUGGUGUGAAUUGCAGAAUCCCGUGAACCAUCGAGUCUUUGAACGCAAGUUGCGCCCGAAGCCAUUAGGCCGAGGGCACGCCUGCCUGGGCGUCACACGUCGUUGCCCCCCCAUCUACUCCUUCGGGAUUGCGGGGGGCGGAUGAUGGCCUCUCGUGCGCCUCGUCGCGCGGUUGGCCUAAAUGCCAAGUCCUCGGCGACGCACGCCACGACAAUCGGUGGUUGCGAAACCUCGGUUGCCUGUCGUGUGCGGUCGUCGCGCAUCGAGGGCUCGAAAAAAUUGCUGGGCUUCGGCUCGACUUUCAACGCGACCCCAGGACAGGCGGGGUUACCCGCUGAAUUUAAGCAUAUCAAAAGCGGAGGA
rnacentral:misc_RNA from 1 species